UACGUAGGGUGCGAGCGUUGUCCGGAAUUAUUGGGCGUAAAGAGCUUGUAGGCGGUCUGUCGCGUCUGCUGUGAAAAUCCGGGGCUCAACCCCGGACUUGCAGUGGGUACGGGCAGACUAGAGUGUGGUAGGGGAGACUGGAAUUCCUGGUGUAGCGGUGAGAUGCGCAGAUAUCAGGAGGAACACCGAUGGCGAAGGCAGGUCUCUGGGCCACUACUGACGCUGAGAAGCGAAAGCAUGGGGAGCGAACAGG
rnacentral:rRNA from 1 species